AAAAGCAUGGCUGAGGAGGCCAGGCUCAGAGGGGUUCCCAGACGUGCUCCACUCUAAGUGACCUUGGGCAGUCCCCGGUCUGUUCAUUGUCUGCACCAUGUGAGGGCCAGGAGCUUUGAAAAUCUGGAUGAAGAGCUGUGAAUCUUCCUCCCAAUCUUUGGACAAGAACCCGCAGACACAGACAAUAACAGCAUAACAGCUCCUUGCUAGAGGUCUAUGACUUCCUCAUCAAGGAAACAUUCCCUCUCUUUCCUUUUUUUUUUUUUUUUUUUUAGUUGUUGGCACUGUACACUAAGAAACGAAUUUUCUCUGCAGAGUAAGGAACAGCCAGGCUUGAAACUCUCACCAAAUCUGCCAGUCUGGGUCUACUUUAAAUGUGCUACAACUUCUUUCAAACACACAAUAAACGAAAAGACCAAUCUGAAUGAUCAGUGCAAUUUAGUUAGUAUCAUGUCACUUUAAAAUCUGGCCAAGAAUCCUCAUACUAUCCUGCUCUUGUCCCCAUCUUAGAGUUGAAAAAACUGAGGUCCAGAGAAGGCAAGUAACUUGCUUAACAUCACACAGCUAAGUAGCAGUGAAAAUAGGGACAUGAAUCUAGUCCCAAUUGACUCCACAGGGUCAUGGGAGCACCCUCACUUCCAAGAACGUGUUGACAUGGGGCCACAGAACCAGCGGGAGAGUACAGGAGCUACAGCAGAGCCUGGAGGCCAGACUUCUCACUUAAAGAAGAGGCUCCCAGGAUUCCAGAGAGGCAAUGGGGCUGCCCCAGGGUUACAGAGCUAGUUAAAAUCACACACUAGCUCUGCUACAAAUUAACUGGACGAUAUCAUGAAACAAUGGCUUGGGAACAUUUAUUUGGGGAGAGGUUCUUGAUGAAACCAAAUGAGCUUGCUUUUCAAAACUACCCAGGGUUUGUUUUACUUCCUUACUUGGGUGCAGAGCUUCAUAACUAUGGAGUCUCUUCACUCCUUGCUCAUGACUUUCUGAGCUGAAGAAAACCCUGUUAUCCCAGAGUGCACAGCAAGGAGCCCUAGAGGACUGAGGGCCCCCAAACUACUUCUCACCUGUCUGGAGAGAACACUGUUCACUCCAAUCGGCAAGUUCAAGACCUCAGCACCCCUGGUAAUUGCAGUGUACGGAACUCCCAGAACCAUGAUAAUUUUGUAGGAAGCUGUCAGAAAUCACAGAUCUAAGGACUUGUCUCCACAAUCUGCCAUCUCAACUCUUAUUCUGAGCUGCGGCCUGAGCUAUUAAAAACAAAACAUUCUCGUGGGCAAGCUCCACAAUUAGCCUCAUUUCCACACUAGAAAAACUGUUCUGCAUGAGCUGAAAUUGCACAGAGAUUGUUUCUUGUCAUAGUGAUGCUGUUUCAAGGGCCGUGCUGAGAGCCAGCGAGGAUGUGACCCAGUGGUAAUCUGAAUUGCUUCACCAAACACAUUUUUAUCCCAUCAUCUCGGCUACAUGAAAGGGGGCCACAGUGCUCGUGUUCAAGGCUUUACAGUCCCGCUGUUCAGCAAUAAAAUGAGGCAAGAAAUAUUAGCCA